rnacentral:lncRNA from 1 species
CCCUCGCCCUCGUCAACCGCCUCCAGCCCGCGCGCCGCCCCGCCGCCACAGAGGCCCACCAGUAGCCUUUGCUGCCGCCUGCUAUAUCUAUUCCCCGUCGCCAUUGUAGCUACCUAUCCUACCACCCCUCCGCCAUUGCUGCUGCUUCUGUUCUGCCAGACAUAUGUACGGAUUAAAUUACUGGAGUAGUAAAACAAUUUCAUCGCCGUCACCGAUUCAUCAACAGCAACCGCAUUGUUUUGGCGGGGACGUGAAUAACAAAGUUGCCGAUUUCGUCGGCGCCUGGAU